rnacentral:lncRNA from 10 species
UUUUCCAGAGCUCCCCCAAGAGAUUAUGCUCAGCUGGCCACAGGCCCAGGCCCAAGGCGCAAGACCACUUGCUUCGGCAGCGUGUGUCAGCAAGAUAGCAGAAGCGGGAGGAGAGCUGGACAGAAGACACCCACCCUCGCUGGAAGACACGGACCCCUGAAGAUCGAGAAAGAGGCCAUCCGGGUGCAACGUAGCAAUUACGUCAGACUAGGGCACUUCCCGUUUACAGAAGACUAUAAAACCUUUGCCCUGUCCUCACUUGGGGCUGACGCCAUUUUAGGCCUCAGCCCG